rnacentral:tRNA from 1 species
GCACAGGUAGUUCAAUGGUAGAGCUCCUGGAAGGUAAGCGGAAGCCCCGGGUUCGAUUCCCGGUCUGUGCA